AUUGAACGCUGGCGGCAGGCCUAACACAUGCAAGUCGAGCGAGCGGCGGACGGGAGAGAAAUGUAUGGGGACUGCCCGAUAGAGGGGGAUAACUACUGGAAACGGUGGCUAAUACCGCAUACGGUAGUAUAACCCAUAUUGGAUGAGCUAGUAGGUGAGGUAAUGGCUUACCUAGGCGACGAUCCCUAGCUGGUCUGAGAGGAUGAUCAGCCACACUGGGACGGAGACACGGCCCAGACUCCUACGGAGGCAGCAGUGGGGAAUAUUGCACAAUGGGCGCAAGCCUGAUGCAGCCAUGCCGCGUGUAUGAAGAAGGCCCUAGGGUUGUAAAGUACUUUCAGUCGGGAGGCGGUACCGACAGUAGAAGCACCGGCUAACUCCGUGCCAGCAGCCGCGGUAAUAC
rnacentral:rRNA from 1 species